rnacentral:lncRNA from 1 species
CAGAAUAGGCUUGGAGGUGCAGCAAGAACACCUUACUGCUGUGCAAAUUCUCCUCUUACCUCUGUAUACCUGAUGUCUCCUGUGCUUGCUUGAAGGAGAGUAGGGACUGAAGGCUAGAAAAAGCCUAUGGAAACAAAGGAGCUGACAGUGUUCCUUCCUGCACUCAAACAGCUUCAGCUGAUCUCAUUGAAUACUUCUGGCUGUAUUAAAACAGUUGAGACUGUAGACUAGAAAACCUCCUACAGAGUCUUUAGGAAAGGAAGAUGGGAAAAACAUGCCCGGUAAUGCCUCGCAGAACAUGGAAAUGGUCGAGAGAGAAAAGCUAACCUGAAAACAAAACACCUCCCCACAGGCCCCUCUUUAGUCUCAGUCAUCAGCUACAAAACUCUCAGGUCAUACUGGCAGCAAGCGCAACACCAGCCCAACUUCCGGCUCCCAUUUCCUGUAGGGGAGCAGGGAGCUUUGUGACCGAGCCAGGAAUCUUAAGAUACUGAGUAAGCUGAAUUUGGCACACCAAGUGCUUAAAAAAACCCAGAAUUUUGGGCCUCUUUCAGUGGUAUUUGGAAUAGCUGUUACCUUAACAACUUCUUGUGGUCUGCUAAUGUAUGCAGCGUGCGACUUGAGACU